GCGCUUGUAGCUCAGUUGGAUAGAGUACCUGGCUACGAACCAGGGGGUCGGAGGUUCAAAUCCUCUCGAGCGCACCA
rnacentral:tRNA from 1 species